rnacentral:rRNA from 1 species
UACGAAGGGGGCUAGCGUUGCUCGGAAUUACUGGGCGUAAAGGGCGCGUAGGCGGAUACUUAAGUUGGGGGUGAAAUCCCGGGGCUCAACCUCGGAAUUGCCUUCAAAACUGGGUAUCUUGAGUUCGGGAGAGGUGAGUGGAACUCCGAGUGUAGAGGUGAAAUUCGUAGAUAUUCGGAAGAACACCAGUGGCGAAGGCGACUCACUGGCCCGAUACUGACGCUGAGGCGCGAAAGCGUGGGGAGCAAACAGG